CAAAUUCAGGUGUCAGGAAUAAUAAAUGAAUCAUUUAUUUGAUGCACAUAAUACUUUAAAGAAAUCAGUGUAAGUCCCCAAAGGAAAAAAGCAACAGCAUACUCAGAAACAUUUCAUCAUUUGAAGUUGAUAUAACAAUGCUGACAAGUACAAAAGAUAACUACUUUGUUCUGUCAUGCCAUGUCAUGUUGUAGAAAAUACAAAGCAUUAUCUGUAAAUUAUCUGUGGGUAUGUAGUCUCCUUGAAAUGUCCCAUUUAUUAAAUAUUAUUCCAAAAUCAGCGUGUGUGUGUGUGUGUGCCAUAUGGAGAUGUUCUCCUAAUCCAUUUUUUAAUACUUUUCUAAGCGUUCUCUACUUUUCAUGCUCCUCCUUGACUGACUAGAGACUACUACUCCAACUGCUCCAAAUUCCAGUCCCAUCAAAUUUCAGUGUAGUAUAAGAUCCUCAGAGACUGGAAGAAGUAGAUAUUAAGUCUUAUUUUUAGAUAACGCAUUAUCACCUCCAAAAGUCAUAGCGAUAUUUUAUUAGGGACCUCUUCUAGGAUUAACUUCUUACCUCAAAGGAAUAACUAAUAGAGACAAUUUCCACUCUCUAGGUCAGUAUUCCUUAAAAUAAAUAUACAGAUAAUAUGCAUUAGAAGAUGUAAAGUUUAAUCUCCAGAGUAAACAUGAAAAAUAAUACCAAAAAAAGUAUACUGAAAAAGCCUACAGAAGAGACAUAAUAGAAAUUAAAAAUAAUGUGACAUAAAUAAUGAAGUUUUUGGUUUUGAUCUUAGAGCCUUAUUUCUCCUGACACCAUCUGUGACACUGAAGCAGGCUACUUACUAGCAUGUAAGCAGAGUAAAAUUAAAUUCCAGACCAAACAUAUAUUAUUAAAUAGAAAUCAAGUUUGGUUAACUUUAAUGUCAUCAAACUGAUCAGUUGAUACUUUAGGACAAACUAUUAAUUGUAAUUUACCUCUGAGCUUAUGGACUGUGUCAUAAUUUAGCAGUCAUAUUUUAUGGAUCAAUUAUUCUAUAGAAAAUAUUUUUUCAGAUUUCUGAUUUGUCAAAUUCAAUGCUAUCUAAUAAAAAGGAGCCAAUUUCACAAUACAUAUGUGUAUUAAAUCAUCAUACUGUACAUCUUAAAUUUGCACAAUGUUAUAUGUAAAUUAUAUCCAAAUAAAGCUGGGGAAAAUAAAAAGUAGCUAAAUGUUUAUAUAUAAAGGAAUAAGGUUCUUUAUAUACUUCAUGAAUCAUAGAAUUAACAUAGACAGCUGGAAUGCUACCAGAGAACCCAAGGUCACCAUAAAUUUAAUUUCUUAAAAAUUAUAUGGAGUCUAGGAGUAUUUAAACAUAUAUUUUCAGAAUAUAUACACAUAUCUCUGUGUGUGUGUAUAUAUAUAUGGCUAUUGCAGCGGGUAAUGACCCUAAUUUCAUCAUUCUUGAACAUUUUCUUUGGAACUCUUUCUAAAAAAGACUUUUAAAAUUCACAAUGGCAAUUAUGCAGUCUUUCCUCAAGCACUAUCUUAAUCUUAAAAAAAAAAAGCAAGUAUAUUUCUGAAAUUUUUCCAGUAUUGCUUUCAUUGCAUCUCCAAGUUUUUCCUUCUUUGUCAUCUGUCAAUUCUAAUAAUCUUCUUCUGCACUUUCAAGUCUGUCACAAACCUCUGAAAAAACUGUAAGUCUUUGAAUUAAUAUGACAAUUAUUUUCUAAUAUCCUUAGGCCUUAAAUCAUUUCUUAUUAAUCUUUUUCAUAUGUGCUGAAGUUCCAUCUUAAAGUUUCUCUUUCCAGAAUAUUGCCCUAAAACUAGAAUCUGGGAACAUCCUACAUAAAAUUUCACUCAUAGUAUUUUGCCAACCUCUUUGGAAAUGAUGAUAAAUAACUAAUUAUCUAAACAAACUAUUAUUCAAGUAUAAUGAUUCCAAAGCAAAUAACUGCAAAAUUUUAAAAAUCUCAGAGUGAAAAUAUAUAUAAAUGAGAUUGGGAAGUUUACUAUACCAAUUCACGCUAUGUUGUUACAAUUACUCUAUUUAUUAUGACAUAUAAUUUGCCAUGUUUUUCAUAAAAUUGCUUUCUUACAUAAUUAAUACUAAGGCCUUGACUAAGACUAAUGGGGUCAAACUCUAUUGAUGUUAUUAUUGGUCAAUAUUCAAAUAUUUUUCUCAGUCUAGCGUCAUAAGAGACUAAUAAUCUUAACAUGUUUACUUUUUUAUAAAAAUCACUGUAUAAUGUUCUGUGAUCCAUCAUCAUAAAUUAUUGGAAUUACUUGUAAAUAAUUUACUUUAAAUAAGUUUGUGUUUCAUAGUUCU
rnacentral:lncRNA from 1 species